rnacentral:rRNA from 1 species
GACGAAGGGGGCUAGCGUUGUUCGGAAUUACUGGGCGUAAAGCGAGUGUAGGUGGUUGUCCAAGUUGGAUGUGAAAGCCUUGAGCUCAACUCAAGAAAUGCAUUCAGGACUGGGCGGCUAGAGGACCGGAGAGGAUAGUGGAAUUCCAGGUGUAGCGGUGAAAUGCGUAGAUAUCUGGAGGAACACCGGUGGCGAAGGCGGCAUCCUGGACCAACACUGACGCUGAGUGAGCGAAAGCCAGGGGAGCAAACGGG